rnacentral:misc_RNA from 1 species
UCGAGACGGAAUAGGAUGACCCGCGCACAGUGACGGAACCCCCCGGGGCGGUGGUACCGCCUCGGCCCCGUGGCGCCUCCCUGCCUGCGGGUAGGAGGGCUCCGCGAUUAAAACCCGGCGCGAAAUUGACGCCAAGGUACACUGGAAAACAGCAGGCUUCGGACCGCGGCCGUGCCGUGUGAACGUCGCCUGAACAAAUGAU